CAAGGCGGAGGAACAUGUGGUUAAUUCGAUGAUACGCGAGGAACCUUACCUGGGCUUAAAUGUAGAGUGCAUUUUUUAGAGAUAGAAAUUCCCUUCGGGGCUUUCUGCAAGGUGCUGCAUGGUUGUCGUCAGCUCGUGCCGUGAGGUGUCGGGUUAAGUCCCAUAACGAGCGCAACCCUUAUCGUUAGUUGCCAUCUGGUAAUGCAGGGGACUCUAGCGAAACUGCCACCGUAAGGUGAGAGGAAGUGGGAUGACGUCAAAUCAGCACGGCCCUUAUGUCCAGGGCUACACACGUGUUACAAUGGUCGGUACAGAGGGCAGCUACCUGGUGACAGGAUGCUAAUCUCGAAAACCGGUCUCAGUUCGGAUCGAAGUCUGCAACUCGACUUCGUGAAGCUGGAUUCGCUAGUAAUCGCGCAUCAGCUAUGGCGCGGUGAAUACGUUCCCGGGCCUU
rnacentral:rRNA from 1 species